rnacentral:snRNA from 8 species
AUCGCUUUUCGGCCUUUUGGCUCAGAUCAAGUGUAGUAUUUGUUUUUAUCAGUUUAAUAUUUGAUACGUCCCCCAUCGGGGGACUACAUAUUAAAUGGAUUUUUUGAACAGGGAGUUGGAAAUGGGGCUUGCUCCGUCCGCUCCACGCAUCGACCCGGUAUUGCAGUACCUCCGGGAACGGUGCAACACUU